UACAGAGACUGCAAGCGUUAUUCGGAUUCACUGGGCGUAAAGGGUGCGCAGGCGGCCGGGUGUGUCAGAUGUGAAAUCCCGAGGCUUAACCUCGGAACUGCGUCUGAAACUACUCGGCUAGAGUACUGGAGAGGGUAACGGAAUUCACGGUGUAGCAGUGAAAUGCGUAGAUAUCGUGAGGAACACCAGAGGCGAAGGCGGUUACCUGGACAGUUACUGACGCUCAGGCACGAAAGCAUGGGGGAGCAAAAGGG
rnacentral:rRNA from 1 species